rnacentral:rRNA from 1 species
CCUACGGGAGGCAGCAGUGAGGAAUAUUGGUCAAUGGCCGGAAGGCUGAACCAGCCAAGCCGCGUGAAGGACGAAGGUGCCAAGCACUGUAAACUUCUUUUGUCAAGGGACAAAAUCAGGCUCGAGAGCCUGACCGAGGGUACUUGAAGAAAAAGCAUCGGCUAACUCCGUGCCAGCAGCCGCGGUAAUACGGAGGAUGCGAGCGUUAUCCGGAUUUAUUGGGUUUAAAGGGUGCGUAGGCGGGCUGUUAAGUCAGCGGUAAAAGCCCGGGGCUCAACCCCGGCGAGCCGUUGAAACUGGCUGUAUUGAGAUGUCGAGAGGUAUGCGGAAUGCGCAGUGUAGCGGUGAAAUGCUUAGAUAUUGCGCAGAACUCCGAUUGCGAAGGCAGCAUACCGGCGGCGAUCUGACGCUGAGGCACGAAAGCGUGGGUAUCGAACAGGAUUAGAUACCCUAGUAGUC